AAUCUCCACUUUUGUUAUUCUUUUAGAAGAUAAUGUUUUGACUAUUUGAGGUUCAACAUUUUUUUAAGUAGAUUGAAUUAUACUUUGUACUGUGUGUUAUGUUCUAGGAAACAUUUUAACUUCUAGUCAUACUUGUUUCUUUAUGCAUUUAAUACCUGGACGUUAAGUAUUCCCAUGUCAUCAUUCAGAUUUAUCCAAAAACACCACAGAAUCUCAUUUUAUUUUAUUAUUAUUAUUGUUGUUUUUUGCAGUCCUGAGGAUUGAGCCCAGGGCCUUGCACCUGAUAGGCAAGCACUGCACCACUGAGUUACAUCUGGAGCCCAGAGUCUCUUUUUAAAGGCAACAAUUUUUUUUUCCCAGGAUCAGUUUUCUUAAUCCUAAUGCAUACAGACUAAUUUGAAGUAUUAAUUUAUUUCCAAAUGUAUAGAGCAUGAUAAGUCAUAAUUACAUUGUCUACAGCCCUAUACCCAAGGUGAAAUUUUUUAGUGAUGUGUUAGGCAUUACCUUUUUUUUUUUUUUUUUUUUUAGGCAUUACAUUUUAGUCUUCUUGUGGUCUGUUAUGUUACAUGACAUUUAGAAAAGUGUUUUUGAUAUUCUGAAUAUCUGGAAAGAGAAAUUAAAUAAUUUUCAAUUUUCCCACUUUGAAAGACAAAGCAGAACAGAAAGCAUUUUAGGCCUUGAGAUUUUUCACCAAGAGAAAUGAUUUGGAAUAUAAUAUAUAAGAGCUUUUGUUGCUUGAAUUAAUCAUUCAUUUAUUCAACAAAUAAUGUCUGUAGAAACAAGGCAUUUUGUUAACCCCUAAGGAUAGAGAUAAAUAUGACAUGUUUGGGCCAUCAAAUCAGGGCCAGUUUAGUAGGGAGGCAUGUGAAAGCAAAUAAUUAUAAAUGCAUUCUUCUAAAUAUGAGUAGAGGAAGUACUGGGCCAGUGGAAAGUAUCAUAUGGCUGAUGGCAGUAUUGAGGGGUGUUUCCAUGAAAGCUUCCAUGAAAGCUGGUCAGAACACAAAAUACAGCAAUGAGUGAGGAGUUUUGCAAAAUCCAAAAUGUCAUCUUGUCAUUGUUCAAGUUGAGUAUAUUCUAACCCUAACUUAGAACAUGAAAUUUAUCUGUCAAAGAGUUUUCCUUUCAUGCUUGUAAAUUAAAAUACAAACUCUUAGUUCCAGGGUCCCCCAUGGUGGUUUUGCUAAUAUCAUGGGUGGAAGUGGAUUGCAAAACUUUACAAUUGCUGCUGUGCCAUAUACCCCAAAUCUUUUACCAACUUCAAGCACGUGCAUCAACAUGCUCAAGUUACCUGAAUACCCAAGUAAAGAAAUACUAAAGGACAGACUUCUUGUGGCACUACAUUGUGGCAGCUAUGGUUACACAAUGGCGUAACGAAGCCUGGAAAACUCAUCUGACUACUGAUGCACAAUUCAGAGUGGCAGAAGCAAUUCAGGAAACUGUCAACAGAAAAGUAGCCUAAAUGCAACCCAUAGGCAGAGCUGCUGUUUAAAAUUCAUAAAGGAUCAGGUUUUCUGUUUUUCUCUUUUCCCUUUUAUGUUCUGUGAUAUAAUUAGAAAAUAGAAAACUACUGCAGACAUCAUUUUUUAAAACUGCUAAUUGAAAGUAGUAUAAACUGUCCUUUUUUCAUGUUUCUUUACUCUUAUCCAAGAUUGUGUUAAGGCAAAAUCUUAUUCUACAUUCCACCUCUAACUAUCUUGUUAAAAGUGUAUUUUUCUCUUUAUGAGGACAUCCAGGUGGUAUGUUCUACUGCAUGUAAAGUGCCAUUUAUAUUUGGAAAAUAAUUGUAAAGAAUGAAUUAAUUUAGAUUGUGUAUAAAGUCACAAAUAAAUAUUUUCCCAUAUUGUAUCUAUAUUGCAAUGAUUUUCUAGGUUUUUAGUACUUUAAUACAUAAUAUAAAAUUUAGUCUGAUGUGACUAAGAAACAGCUGAUGAAAUGACAUGUAAUUUAUAUAUUAAAUCUUAUACUAUCUUACAUGAAUUAGCAUCUUUCAGUGGUCAGUUUUCAUAUGUACAUGUUGUGGUUUUUCUUAUGCCUUAUUUCAAUUUUAAAAUUAAGGUAAAAUUUAAAUUAAUACUUUACCAUAUUUUUCAUUACAUUUAUCUGAGUUCUGAUGACAUAUUUGAGGAAGUAAUCUGAUGUAUAGAUUAUUUAAAUAUGUAACGUUUUCAAUGUUUUUUAUGGUUAAAAUGUUAUGUGUAAGUGAUAAUGCCUAAUACAGAGCAUUGGGCUUUUCAAUUUUUGGAUGGUCUAAUAAAUUUUUUUGUUUGUUUUUGUUUUGAAAA